rnacentral:tRNA from 1 species
GGAGACAUGGCUCAAGUGGUAGAGUGAUUGCCUAAUAAGCACAAGGUCCUGAGUUCAAAUCCCACUGCCUCAA